UACGUAGGGUGCAAGCGUUGUCCGGAAUUAUUGGGCGUAAAGAGCUCGUAGGCGGUUUGUUGCGUCGGCUGUGAAAUCCCGAGGCUCAACCUCGGGUCUGCAGUCGAUACGAGCAAACUAGAGUGUGUGAGGGGAGACUGGAAUUCCUGGUGUAGCGGUGAAAUGCGCAGAUAUCAGGAGGAACACCGGUGGCGAAGGCGGGUCUCUGG
rnacentral:rRNA from 1 species